AGUGAACGCUGGCGGUAGGCCUAACACAUGCAAGUCGAACGGCAGCACAGUAAGAGCUUGCUCUUACGGGUGGCGAGUGGCGGACGGGUGAGGAAUACAUCGGCAUCUACUUUUUCGUGGGGGAUAACGUAGGGAAGCUUACGCUACUACCGCAUACGACCUACGGGUGAAAGCAGGGGAUCUUCGGACCUUGCGCGACUGAAUGAGCCGAUGUCGGAUUAGCUAGUUGGCGGGGUAAAGGCCCACCAAGGCGACGAUCCGUAGCUGGUCUGAGAGGAUGAUCGGCCACACUGGAACUGAGACACGGUCCAGACUCCUACGGGAGGCAGCAGUGGGGAAUAUUGCACAAUGGGCGCAAGCCUGACGCAGCCAUGCCGCGUGGGUGAAGAAGGCCUUCGGGUUGUAAAGCCCUUUUGUUGGGAAAGAAAAGCAGCGGGUGAAUCCGCCGCUGUUCUGACGGUACCCAAUGAAUAAGCACCGGCUAACUUCGUG
rnacentral:rRNA from 1 species